rnacentral:rRNA from 1 species
GCAUAUCAAUAAGCGGAGGAAAAGAAACCAACAGGGAUUGCCCCAGUAACGGCGAGUGAAGCGGCAAAAGCUCAAAUUUGAAAUCCUGCGGGAAUUGUAAUUUGAAGGUUUCGUGGUCUGAGUCGGCCGCGCCCAAGUCCAUUGGAACAUGGCGCCUGGGAGGGUGAGAGCCCCGUAUGGCGCACGCCGACUCUUUGUACACCGCGGCUCCGACGAGUCGAGUUGUUUGGGAAUGCAGCUCUAAGUGGGUGGUAAAUUCCAUCUAAAGCUAAAUAUUGGCGAGAGACCGAUAGCGAACAAGUACAGUGAUGGAAAGAUGAAAAGCACUUUGAAAAGAGAGUGAAACAGCACGUGAAAUUGUUGAAAGGGAAGGGCUUGCAAGCAGACACGGUUUUACCGGGCCAGCGUCGAAAAGGGGGGAGGAACAAGAACUCGAGAAUGUGGCGCGCACCUUCGGGCGCGCGUGUUAUAGCUCGUGUUGACGCCUCCAUCCCUUUCAGAGGCCUGCGAUUCUAGGACGCUGGCGUAAUGGUUGCAAGCCGCCCGUCUUGAAACACGGACC